CACGUAGGGCGCGAGCGUUGUCCGGAAUUAUUGGGCGUAAAGAGCUCGUAGGCGGUUUGUCGCGUCUGCUGUGAAAACCCGAGGCUCAACCUCGGGCCUGCAGUGGGUACGGGCAGACUAGAGUGCGGUAGGGGGAGAUUGGAAUUCCUGGUGUAGCGGUGGAAUGCGCAGAUAUCAGGAGGAACACCAAUGGCGAAGGCAGAUCUCUGGGCCGUAACUGACGCUGAGGAGCGAAAGCAUGGGGAGCGAACAGG
rnacentral:rRNA from 1 species